GUUUGAUCUCAAAUCAGGUAGGACUACCCGCUG
rnacentral:rRNA from 1 species